CGAAACUAAGUGAGCUACUUUAAAAUAGCCCUAGAGCCAACCCGUCUCUGUUGCAAUAGAGUGGGAAAAUUUUUAAGUAGAGGUGAUAAACCUAUCGAACUUAGAGAUAGCUGGUUUUUUAAGAAAAGAUUUUUAGUUCAGCCCCGAGCCCCUUAUUACUUAAAAAUAAAGUCGGACUCAGGAGUUAUUCAAAUAAGGCACAGCUUAUUUGAAAAAGGAUACAACCUAGAAAAAAGGGUAAGAUAAAUAAGAUAUUUAAUAAGUGGGCCUAAAAGCAGCCAUCUUUUAAAAAGCGUCAAAGCUUAAUAUUUUCAACUUUCCUAAUACCUCCACCAACCUCCAACCCUUAUUUACUAUUAAAAAAUUCCAUAACAUUAUGGAAAUUAUUAUGCUAGAACAAGUAACAAGAAAAAGAUUUUCUCCAAAAAUGUAAGCUUAAGCCACAAUAGACAAACUAAUGGCAAUUAACGCCUUUAAAUUACUUAUAGUAACAUCAACAAGAAAACCCUACAUAAAAUUUAUCGUCAACCUUACACUAGCACAU
rnacentral:rRNA from 1 species